rnacentral:rRNA from 1 species
GACGUAGGGCGCGAGCGUUGUCCGGAUUUAUUGGGCGUAAAGAGCUCGUAGGCGGCUUGUUGCGUCGACCGUGAAAACCCGGGGCUCAACUUCGGGCUUGCGGUCGAUACGGGCGGGCUAGAGUUCGGUAGGGGAGACUGGAAUUCCUGGUGUAGCGGUGGAAUGCGCAGAUAUCAGGAGGAACACCAACGGCGAAGGCAGCUCGCUGGGACGGUACUGACGCUAAGGCGCGAAAGCGUGGGGAUCAAACAGG